CAAUAGCGUAUAUUUAAGUUGUUGCAGUUAAAACACUCGUAGUCGGAAUUUGGCAGUUCCGGAUGUGUGCACGUCGUGUGCGCACUUCGCGGGGAUUGCUUUUGUGGUCUUGCGUAGGAUGAGGCACUUUUAUUAGUGAACGUCCUCACGCAACCACUUUUUACUGUGAGAAAAUCAGAGUGCUCAAAGCAGGCAUUUGCCGUGAAUGUAUUAGCAUGGAAUAAUAGAAUAGGACUUGGUUCUAUUUUGUUGGUUUGUUGGGACUGAGUAAUGAUUAAGAGGGACAGUUGGGGGCAUUUGUAUUUCGGUGCUAGAGGUGAAAUUCUUAGAUUACCGAAAGACAAACUGCUGCGAAAGCGUCUGCCAAGGAUGUUUUCAUUGA
rnacentral:rRNA from 1 species